GACGAACGCUGGCGGCGUGCCUAACACAUGCAAGUGGAGCGACGAACCAGGCUUCGGCCUGGAGCAAAGCCGCGAACGGGUGAGUAACACGUGGGUAACCUGCCCCGAUGAUCGGGACAACCCGGGGAAACCCGGGGCUAAUACCGAAUAAGCUCGCAGCUCAUGAGGGCUGUGAGGAAAGGAAGCUUCGGCCUCCGCAUCGGGAUGGGCCCGCGGCCCAUUAGCUUGUUGGUGGGGUAAUGGCCUACCAAGGCAUCGAUGGGUAGCUGGUCUGAGAGGACGAUCAGCCACACUGGGACUGAGACACGGCCCAGACUCCUACGGGAGGCAGCAGUGGGGAAUCUUGCGCAAUGCGCGAAAGCGUGACGCAGCAACGCCGCGUGGGGGAAGAAGGCUUUCGGGUCGUAAACCCCUUUCAGUUGGGACGAAGCUUCGCCGGUGAAUAGCCGGCCGGAGUGACGGUACCUUCACAAGAAGCCCCGGCUAACUACGUGCCAGCAGCCGCGGU
rnacentral:rRNA from 1 species